UAUUAACUUGGUUGAGAUACUCUUCUAUUUUAAAUUCCGAUUUAAACGUCGAAAGGAAAUGUAAUUUAGGUUAUAUGGUGGCGUGUGAGCAUUUCCAGGUUAUUUAUCUGGGAGGUUUGGUCAAAUGACUUCAAUAUUUUCAUUACGUUAGAAUAAAAACCUUGUUGGUUGUUUAAAUGUUGUUCUUUGGACAUGAUGAAUGUUUGUUUAACGAUGGUUGAAUUAGAAAGUGAAUUAAUAUUAAGGAUAUAUUUAAUGAGUCUCUUAUGAAUAUCUAACGAAAGGGGAAAUUUGCCUAGUUCUCCUCUAGAGGCAGCGUUAGUGACUUUGCCAUGUAAUCCAAGAUGUAGUUUGCAAAAUUUGAGAUGGGCUUUUUCUGUUGGGGUUUGAUUCCAUUUAUGAAAAUCUUUA